AGUUGAUUAUCUAGUUUUUCAUUGUAAACUAUCAACUUUGUUCAUAAUCGGCAACGUUAUAAUAUUCCUUGUUUGAUAUCACAUAUAUUGAUUGAUAUUCAUGAAAAUAAUGUAGGUCAAUUUAUACAUAAGAUUUAUGCGUCUAUAUUACGCCUUUGGAGACCUAGAGGUAACUUUAUCCGAAUGCUUUUCUUCGAUAGGUAUCAAUCGUAAUCCUGAAAUUUAAAUCUCGCGCCAUAACACCGGCAAAUUUUCCUUGUCUUUUAUUGUAUAGCUUUCUAAUAUUCAUCCCUAAACAUUUAGAGACAUGGAUAAUAUUUUUAAUAUCCAAUUUAAUUGGUAGUAAAAAAUAAAGUAUAACGGCUUAAAUAGUUCGAUAAUGCUUAAACGCUAAAAUGACAUAUCUUUUAGAGUAUCGGACAUUAGUUUAAAAUCUUUGAAGGCUAUUGUAUUUUUAUUAGAUUUAAAAAGAUGUCUGAAAAUAUCUUAAGGUACGUUUUCCUUGGACAAUUUCCGUUGACCGCCACGUUUUGACGUCUUUAUCUAACCAACCGUAAUUUCAGCAAUUUUGUAGAUGGGCGGAACUACGCGAUUGCUAGAUUUGCGAUUGGUUAGAUAAAGUCGUCGAAAUGCGGCGGUCGACGGAUACUAUCAUUAGUGACAUCUUAAUUAGAUUCAAUACGGUGUUGUCUAUAUAAAGAUUUAGUCCAUCAUAUAGUCGCUAUAUCAACAGCGGAUACAGGGGGAGCGCAUUAUAAAAUGAAAAAAAAAAUGAUAUAAUGGUGAUAAAACUAAAGAAAUAGUAACCUUUUUUAAUAAAAAAAACUAUAGAUAUUGUUAUUGUUAGUUCGCAUCAAACUUAAUGACCUGCCCCUGUAGAACAGGCAUUUUAGCUUCGGCGAAGUGAAAUUCACCAAAUUUAUAGUAAUAUACACACAUAUGUAAUUCAAUUAAUCAAUCUGUUAACUUGCAAAGUUGUUGACAGUUUUUUCUUUUGAUAAUUAUUAUCGCUAAAUACAUAUUCAUCUAUAAGAAAAUUAUUUUUUCAUUUUCAUCUGAGCCAAUCAUCAGUGUUCACAUCAACAGUUUAAAGAGACCACGUAAAGGAAAUUGAGUUCUUUUUCCAAGAAUAUUAUCAUCUACUGAAUUAGGUCGGAAGUAAUACACCUUUAUUUUUUCAACCCUUCAUUUCAUAUUACUUCUGAAGCAUCAUCUUCAACAUAGAAGAGAGCUUCAACUGAAAAUUUUCAUCAGCUUUUUAGUCAAAGAUGCCGCGUGAAAUACAUAAGAAAAACCACUUGAGGAGUGUCAAACGAAGUAUCAAUGACAUGCUGCUCUUGAUGAUAUAAAUAAUACUUACUAAAAAAGCAAGUAAAAAAUUUCAGUGUCUAUCAUGGCAAUAAAACGAAGGUCCAAAGAUAAAACUAAAAUAGCUCUGGGCGCAAUAAAAUAUUAAGGAUGAAGAAAAACCCAUUGAAAAGUAUCCGUAUGAAGAUUGAACUCAUGGAUGGUGCAUCAUCAGGCUCUUCAUAGGCAUGGAAUAUUCAUCGGGAUGGAUGAAAUUACUGGAAGUUUUUGCCCAAUGAUAUGAUUUUGGGUUUAUUUCUUUUCUCCAUGCAUCAGGUUUUUGAAAAAGAAAACUAACAAACUAAUCAAAACAGUAUAUUUGAAAAUAAAUACAUAUACAAUAAAUAAAAAAAACUACAUAAAAAUAUUUCCUAAACCUAUUAAAAAUUGGGUAAAAAAAAGGAGGAACAAUUAAUUAUCACAUAGAAAUUUUCAUGAGAAGAGAAAAUGAGAGAAGACUAGAAGCCAAAAAUGAUCCAUAUAUGUUACUUUUACAUUACAUAUUGAUCUCAAGAUUCAAAUAAAUUGAAGAAUUUUUCUUUAUUAUAAGAGAGUCUAAUUUUCAGAUUUUUUAUAUUAUUUUAAUGAAGGUACUACAAAUGUGGAACAAUUUUUUUCAUAGAUAUAUUUGAGGGAUCAUUUGAUGAAAUCUACCUGCAUUACUCUGUUAUUGAUCGAAUUUGAUCAUUUGCGUUGUACUUCAACAUAUAUCAUCUAAAAUUUUGGAGAUUUAAGAUUGCUUACAGUGAUAAAGUUAUUUUUCGGAAAGAUCAUUAAAACAAAAUAAAAAUAAGAAAAGAACGAUGAAGGAAAUAAAAAACAAACUAUUUUUUAUUUCCUUCAUUUGAAAAUACUUUCAGACAAUUGAAAAAAUAUUCAGAAAAGUUAAUUAUUUCAUUGAAACGGUAAAUUGGAUCAUUAGUAAUAAAUUAAAAUUAAUGGUAAAUAUUUCAGUCAUAUAUAAAAUAAAAACAACUACAAAGAUAAAGUAAAUACUAUUAGACCUUUUAUCCACUUGAGAAAAAAAAAUAAAAAUAAUUUCAUUAGCAUUUCGAAAUUAGUUAUGUAUAACAAAAAUAAUUUCAAAUUAUAGUUA